rnacentral:rRNA from 1 species
AGUGAACGCUGGCGGUAGGCCUAACACAUGCAAGUCGAACGGCAGCACAGUAAGAGCUUGCUCUUACGGGUGGCGAGUGGCGGACGGGUGAGGAAUACAUCGGAAUCUACUUUUUCGUGGGGGAUAACGUAGGGAAACUUACGCUAAUACCGCAUACGACCUACGGGUGAAAGCAGGGGAUCUUCGGACCUUGCGCGAUUGAAUGAGCCGAUGUCGGAUUAGCUAGUUGGCGGGGUAAAGGCCCACCAAGGCGACGAUCCGUAGCUCGUCUGAGAGGAUGAUCGGCCGCCCUGGAACGUGGCCACGGUCCAGACUCCUACGGGAGGCAGCAGUGGGGAAUAUUGGACAAUGGUCGCAAGCCUGAUCCAGCCAUCCCGCGUGGGUGAAGAAGGCCUUCGGGUUGUAAAGCCCUUUUGUUGGGAAAGAAAAGCAGCAGGUUAAUACCCAGCUGUUCUGACGGUACCCAAAGAAUAAGCGCCGGCUAACUUCGUG